CUUGAUUAAGUGGAUUUUGAAACCAAUAAAAACUCUUUAAGACUAUUGCCUCAGAAACAUCCUAGGAAGUCUGAUCUUUUAAUGUCUAUCAUGCUUAGCUCUUAGGAGAUGACCUGAUCCUUUAAAAAGAUCCUUUAAAAGAAGUUAUCUCUUUUUUUAUUCAUUCUUUAGAGGCUUGAAGUGAAUUUGUAAGAGUUCACUAUAUAUCUCCCAUCUCCUGUCAUUUACCACUUCUUCAACGUCAGUUCUGACUGCAACCAUUUCAAUUGUCUAUUCUUUUCCAACUAGUUCGAUUCACGUUAAAUGGUCCAAAUUCUUCUCUCUCCCUUCCUAAGAGGUUUUUACUACUGCGAGGGUCUGAGCUAUACAAUUUAUGACACCGUCUCCAUUCACGUGAGCCAUUACCAAGUGAAAUUCCUCACAGUUCACAUGGCCCAGAGUGCCUCCAUAUCGGACCACUAUAGUUUUUGGACAAUUGUAAAAUUAAAAGGACAGGAGUUACGUGGACCUAAAGGUAGCGCAGGACCCUAAGGCCUCAAAGAACAGGGAGGUGAUUGUGAGCAAUCUUAGAACCUAAGAGUCAUUCAUUGGUUAUUCAUUAGACACAGGGCAUGUCGAUCCUCGCUUCUCAGCAAAUGAGCUUGGAGCUCAUGGUGAGGGGGCGUGGCCCUCUGACCUCUGGCCCCGCCCCCGUCACCUGCCUAGCGGGCUCUUCGCGCCUUGUCCGCUUCGGUCUGAGGCGCCUCUCCUGACACUGCUGCCCUGCCCUUCGCCCCUGGGGCCUCCUCGGGCACCCCACAGACUGUUGUCCCCUCAGCAGCGCACUCCUCUGCCGCCCCGUCGGUCCGCCUCAGGCCGGGCCCCACUGCCCACAGCCUCCCCUCAGCGGCGGCCACCUCGGGGGCCACCAUCUUUGCUGUCGACGCCACAGCCUGAUCGCCACCCCAGUUGAGGUACCGCCUGGCGCCAUGUCUGCCGCAGGAGAAGGAGACCUGGCCGCAGGUGGCCUGAACAGGCCUGUGGGCGUGCCGGGGGCGUGGGCCCUGGCGGCCGGCUGGUCGGCGACUCGGGGCCCCACGGGGCGGCGAGAGUCACGGCGGCGGCGGCGGCGGGAGCCCUCGGGGAGGCGGCGGGGGAGCCGGGGGCCGGCGGCCCGGAGGGCGGGAGCGCCGAGGAGGACUCGGACAUCGAGCCGGCAGAGGAGGGCGAGGAGGCGGCGGCGGGCCGCCUGGCGGUGGACGCGGCGCAGUUCCCGCGGGCGAGCUUACGCCUCCUCUUCCUGGAGUUCGCGCAGUCGCUGCUGCGCCGCCUCUUCUACAAUAACCACGUGCUGCUGCGGCCAUGGCCUCUGGCUCACGACGGCUUGGCUCAGCGCCCCGCGCCCCGCGGGCCGGCGCCGCAAGAGCUGGCCGCCUGCGCCCUGCCGCCGGUCCAGGAGCCGGGGAAGGGGGCCACGACCCAGGAGCCGGGGGCGGAGACCGCGACCCAGGAGCCGGGAGCGGAGGCCGCGACCCAGGAGCCCGCGGAGGAGGCCGCCGCCCCGGAGGAAACAACUAAAUAUCGGUGUGAAAACUCGAAUGAAGAGGCCCACGACGCUGAAGACAAGGACGAAAAAGAGAAGUUUAACAAAAAACAAGAAGGACCCGAAAACGCUCUGGACCCCACAGACAGCACACCGAGAAAAUCCAGUUGGGAGGAAUAGAAAGAAGAUGGAGAAAGAAGAAAGAACCUGCUCUUCACCCUUUAGGUUUUUCGUUUUUUAGAAGCCCAAGGGAAUUUUAUCAACACUGAUUUCAUUCCAACUUCAUCACCCCAAAAGUGACAUCCACUGACAUCUGACUUUUCCCUUACAUUUUGCAGAUAUAUUUGACAGCAUUUCUUCUAGUUAAAAAAUUUGUUUUAAAUUAAUAAACUGAAAUGAAGGCAGAUUUUAUUUACAUAAAUAAUCCUGACAAAUCUUUUACCUCAUUUUUUUUUUUUUUGGCUUACUGUACCUUCAUUAAGACUUAUCACUUUCCACCAUUUGGUAAGCCUAUAUUUAUUAUUUUAUUGUAGCUCAAAAUAAGUUAAAAUGUCAAGUUUAAAAUAAUUUUGUGAAGAGAGAGAUGGAGGUCAAGCCUUUAAUGCUGCACUGUCCACUGUUAGUCACUAGCCACAUCUGGCUCCUGAGCACUUGAAAUAUGGCUAGUCUGAUUUGAGAUGUGCUACAGGUAUAAAAAAAAGUUACAUGUCUUACUAAUAAUUUUAUACUGAUUACAUGUUGAAGUGAUAAUAUAUUGAAUUAAAAUAUACUAUUAAAAUUAAUUUUGCCAGUUUCUUUUUACUUUUUUAAUGUGGCUACUAGAAAACAAAAUUACACAUGUGAUUGCGUUAUAUGUCUAUGAGGCAGCGCUGCUCUGGAGCAUGGUUUUGAAGGAAACCUCGUGGAUGGCCCAGCUUGCCUGGAGGCCAGAUGAUGCUGCUAAGCCUGGGCCCAGACACUGAUUUGGAGCAGUGGUUCUCAAAGUUUCGUCCCCAAACAGCAUCAGCAGCAUCACCCAGCAUUUCGUAGGCUCUACCCAAGAUAAACUGGGUCAGAGACUCUGAGAGUGGGCCUAGCAAUCUGUGACCGUGUUUUAACAAGCCCUCCAGCGGAUUCUGAUGCAGCUAAGGUUUGAGAAGCACUGGUUUAGAGCCAGAGGGGAAGAAGCUGAGACUCACCUAGGGUAGGACCAGCCUUAAUUCACUGGCUUGGGACUGUGGCAGGUCAAGUGAACAGGAUGGCAAGGGGGGACUAGGGAGGAGACUAGAACUCAGUGGCUGAGACACAGACGGACUAAGAUUGGGUGAUAGCAGCAGAAAAAUGCAUAAGGGAAAAAGCUGGUUCCAGAAGGAGACAAACAUUUUGAUACCAUGUAUACGAAGUCUAAUAAAACAUAUAAUCACCAUAUAUUGAUUGUGGAUACACAUAAAGCAUAAAAGGCAUGCAUGUUGAAGACAGAUACAAAUGUAGCACCAGAAAGGCAUGUGUUAGAAAGAUAAACACCACAUUUAGGAUGGUGGUUACCUCUUGGGAAAAGAAAGGGAGGGGGAUCCUACUGGGGAGGGCUCCACAGGGGGCUUCAAUGGUAUUUGUAAUGUCACACUUCUUAAGCUGGGUUGUGGGUAAAUGGACGCUCAUAGUAGUAUUUUCUGUAAUUUUAUGUAGAUCUGAAAUAUUUCAUAAUAAAUAAUGAGAAAAAU
ensembl:lncRNA